AGCUUAGAACUUUCACCUUCUGAAUCUAUGGCAAAAGGUGAUUCUGUCGUCUUUCUUUCACCAUCUGUUCAUUCCAAGGACAAGGCUUUCAAAGAGCUUCACCAAAGUGGAGUGCCAAAAGUGGAGUUGCUCGGAGAAUUCAGAAGCUCUCUGAAGAGCAGUGGUCUGAAAUCCAAGAAAGUGGAAGGCGAAGUAAGUAACUUUUCAACAUCUCAAGAUGAGAGGCCAAGGAGGAAGAUUGCUUCCUCUGUUAAUGACACACAUCUAUCCCCUUCAGAGUCCUCUGCUGCAGAAUUCCCUUCAUAUGGAAGCUUUACUGCACAGGAGAUCAUUAUGAAGAAAGAGGAGGGUAACGAUGGUGAAGAAGAUGUAAAGAAGAUGCUCAGAACUCCAGUCAGGCGAUCAAAUCGAAUUCGCAAUCGAGCAGUCACAUCUCCUUGAAUUAACUCCAAGUUGAUGAUAGAUGAUUUUUUAUUUGAAUUGCCAUGAUUCAGAAACAGCUUCCUGUUGUUGCAUGUUAAAAAACCAAGGCCUGUGUAAAGAGCCCUCUCUUAUGUUAAAGCUAGC